rnacentral:misc_RNA from 1 species
AUGCAUGAUGUGAUUCGUGAUAUGUCUCUAUGGAUAGCAUGUGAAGUGGAAAAGGAAGAGCAUAAAUAUUUGGUGCAGGCAGGUGCUCAAUUAACCAAAGCACCAGAGAUGGAAAGAUGGAGAGGGACAAAAAGAUUGUCAUUGAUGGAAAACAAUAUUGAGCAACUAACAGAAGUGCCUAGAUGUCCUGAUCUUUUGACCCUGUUUCUAUGUGGUAAUGGCUAUUUCAAGAGUAUCCCUGAUGACUUCUUUCAAUUUAUGAAUGCACUAACAGUUCUAGACUUGUCAGAGACUACAUUAAAAUUUUUGCCAAAUGGGAUUUCAAAAUUGGUAUCAUUACAAUAUCUGAAUUUAUCAAGAGCCAAGAUAAAAGAACUGCCUUCAGAGUUAAUGGCUCUUAAAAAGUUGAAAUAUUUGAACUUGGAGCAUAAUUAUGACCUGCAUAGCAUUCCAAGAAAGAUGAUGUCUGGUUUUCCAUUGUUGCAAGUUUUGAGAAUGUUUAGUUGUGGUGUAGUCUGUUAUGUGCAAGAUGAAGAUGCUAUAAAUGUAGAGAGACUAAUGUUAUUGAAACAUCUGAAAGUAUUGAGCAUCACAAUAAGACAUGCUAUUGUUCUCCAUCGUUUUCUCACCAGCCACAAACUAUUAAGCUGUACUCAAGCUUUAUCUCUUCAGGAUUUGAUGGAUGCCGAAUUUUCAUCUUCAACAAAUAUGCUGCUACAAAAAGCAAAAACACAAGCUCCUGAUGGUCUCCAUAACCCAGCAAGGUUAAGAAAGAGAAGCUUUGACAGGCUUCGGCAUGUGGAUGUGACACGGUGCCUUCAAUUGCAGGACUUGACAUGGCUGAUUCUAGCACCAAACCUGACAGAACUAUACGUCUCCAAGUGUGAAAAUUUGGAAGAAAUAAUUAGCUUUGGCAAAUUGGGUAAGGUUAUGGAUAAGGAAGAAAAUCUAAGCCCAUUUCCAAGACUCAAAGUCCUGAAAUUAUAUCAAUUGCUACGAUUGAAGAGCAUAUAUUGGAAUGCCCUGUCAUUUCCAUUUCUAGAGGAAAUCACUGUAAUUGAAUGCCCAUUGCUUAGGAAGCUUCCACUCAACACUGAAAGCGCAAAAGGUAAAGUUGUCAUUGAAGCAGAUAAACACUGGUGGGAUAGUGUUCAAUGGGAUGAUGAAGCUUCUAAAACUGCUUUUCAGUCCGGUUUCCAAGAUCUUGGGAGACGGUCUUGAUUUUCAUUUGUGCAUUAUUUUCUGUCCUGGAAAGUCUUGUAUUGGUCCAUGCAAGAUAACCAUGAAUCUUCUGUAGUUCUCUAUUUAUUUUGAAGGUAAUUUUAUUAGGAAUAAAGAGCAUAAUUUGGCUCGUUAUGAAUUGUGGGUUGCUAACCAAUGGAGAAAGAUAUAGGCAGCAUUUCAGUCCCUCUCCUUUGUGCUCUGUUUGUAUGUCGGAUUCCUCCGUGACUGCUCUGUUGCACUGCAGUUAUGGAAGUUGCUUCAUUCCUGCUUCGAAUGGUCAGUUUUUAGUGAUGGCUCAAUUUCUGUGCAAGAAUCCUUAGCCCUUUCUGGUUCAAAAAAUCCGUUAAAGUUCACUGCCCUCUCUGAAAUCCAUAGAAUUUAUUUUUGGGUUAUUGUAUAUUUGUGUUGAUUGCUGAAAUUUGGAUUCAAUUAGUUGGAUAUUCAACUAUUAUUUGAACUUCUGGAUUUCUUGUUUAUUGGGUCAUUGCCCUUUUCUGGAUUUCUUGUUUGUUAGUUCAUUU